rnacentral:rRNA from 1 species
CCCUUAGAUGUUCUGGGCUGCACGCGCGCUACACUGACACUAUCAACGAGUGCUCCUGGUUUGAAAGGAUCGGGUAAUCUUUUGAAAUGGUGUCGUGAUGGGGAUAGAUCAUUGCAAUUAUUGAUCUUGAACGAGGAAUUCCUAGUAAAUGUGAGUCACCAGCUCACGUUGAUUACGUCCCUGCCCUUUGUACACACCGCCCGUCGCUCCUACCGAUUGAGUGAACCGAUGAGUAGUCCGGAUUGCGAUCGACCUCGGUUAAUCGCGAGAAGUUCCGCAAAUCACUUCACUUAGAGGAAGGAGAAGUCGUAACA